AUUGAACGCUGGCGGCAGGCUUAACACAUGCAAGUCGAGCGGAGAUGAGGUGCUUGCACCUUAUCUUAGCGGCGGACGGGUGAGUAAUGCUUAGGAAUCUGCCUAUUAGUGGGGGACAACAUUCCGAAAGGAAUGCUAAUACCGCAUACGCCCUACGGGGGGAAGCAGGGGAUCUUCGGACCUUGCGCUAAUAGAUGAGCCUAAGUCGGAUUAGCUAGUUGGUGGGGUAAAGGCCUACCAAGGCGACGAUCUGUAGCGGGUCUGAGAGGAUGAUCCGCCACACUGGGACCGAGACACGGCCCAGACUCCUACGGGAGGCAGCAGUGGGGAAUAUUGGACAAUGGGCGGAAGCCUGAUCCAGCCAUGCCGCGUGUGUGAAGAAGGCCUUUUGGUUGUAAAGCACUUUAAGCGAGGAGGAGGCUACUAGUAUUAAUACUACUGGAUAGUGGACGUUACUCGCAGAAUAAGCACCGGCUAACUCUGUGCCAGCAGCCGCGGUAAAAC
rnacentral:rRNA from 1 species